CAGCCUCAAAGCGUAUCGGGCUGUCAAUUUCCCGUUUGUAAUCUAAAAUGACUGAAAAUUGCAAACUUCGCAAGGCUGUAUUAUCCGCAUUUUACAACACUUCGCAACGAAACUUUCGAAUAUUACUAAUUUUGUGAUGCUCUUUCAAGCUCUGAUGAAAUUUUUGUCUAGAUCAAAAUUUAGUCUAUUACGCAAAUGGUCAAUUG
rnacentral:lncRNA from 1 species